GACGAACGCUGGCGGCGUGCUUAACACAUGCAAGUCGAACGGUGAAGCUCCAGCUUGCUGGAGUGGAUCAGUGGCGAACGGGUGAGUAACACGUGAGCAACCUGCCCCUGACUCUGGAAUAAGCGCUGGAAACGGCGUCUAAUACUGGAUACGAGAAGGGUCCGCAUGGGCACUUUCUGGAAAGUUUUUCGGUUGGGGAUGGGCUCGCGGCCUAUCAGCUUGUUGGUGAGGUAAUGGCUCACCAAGGCGACGACAGGUAGCCGGCCUGAGAGGGCGACCGGCCACACUGGGACUGAGACACGGCCCAGACGCCUACGGGAGGCAGCAGUGGGGAAUAUUGCACAAUGGGCGAAAGCCUGAUGCAGCGACGCCGCGUGAGGGAUGACGGCCUUCGGGUUGUAAACCUCUUUCAGCAGGGAAGAAGCGAAAGUGACGGUACCUGCAGAAGAAGCACCGGCUAACUACGUG
rnacentral:rRNA from 1 species